GAUGAACGCUGGCGGCGUGCCUAAUACAUGCAAGUCGAACGCAUUGUGGUUGAAAUGAUAUGAAGAACUUGUUCAGAUUUGAUUUUCAACAUUGCAAUGAGUGGCGAACGGGUGAGUAACACGUGGGAAACCUACCUCUUAGCAGGGGAUAACAUUUGGAAACAAAUGCUAAUACCGUAUAAUAAUUAAAACCGCAUGGUUUUAGUUUAAAAGAUGGUCUUGCUAUCACUAAGAGAUGGUCCCGCGGUGUAUUAGUUAGUUGGUGAGGUAAUGGCUCACCAAGACAAUGAUACAUAGCCGAGUUGAGAGACUGACCGGCCACAAUGGGAGUGAGACACGGCCCAUACUCCUACGGGAGGCAGCAGUAGGGAA
rnacentral:rRNA from 1 species